UGAGAAAAGAAAAGCAUAUAACAUUGAAAUCAUGCGUGGAACAACGAACCCUCUUGUUGUUGGACGUAUAAUAGGAGAUGUUGUGGAACCAUUUGCAUGUUCCAUCCCUAUGAGAGUUGUCUACAACCAUAACAAAGAAGUCAUCAACAGUGGUGAGCUCAAACCCUCCCAAAUAAUCUCCCAUCCGAGAGUUGAGGUUGGUGGAGAUGAUCUCAGGACCCUUUACACUUUGGUCAUGGUGGACCCUGAUGCACCCAGCCCAAGUAACCCAACUAUGAGGGAAUAUCUUCACUGGUUGGUAAUCAACAUUCCAGCGACAACAGGGUCAAACUUUGGAGAAGAGAUUGUGAGCUACGAAAGUCCAAGACCGACAUCAGGGAUUCAUCGUUUAGUGUUCGUGUUGUUUAAACAACCUGGUAGACAAUCCAUACAUGCUCCUGGGUGGCGUCAAAAUUUCAUCACCAGAGAUUUCGCCGAAUAUUACAAUCUUGGAUCACCAGUUGCUGCUGUCUUUUUCAAUUGCCAGCGUCAAUCUGGUUCUGGCGGAAGGAGGCUC
rnacentral:sRNA from 1 species